rnacentral:misc_RNA from 1 species
AAACCGUGCUACGGAUACUGUGGCAAGAAGAUUGAGAAUUUGAAGCCAGCCUUGAGAGGCAACCCUAUUUUAG